CUAGCUGGUCUGAGAGGAUGACCAGCCACACUGGAACUGAGACACGGUCCAGACUCCUACGGGAGGCAGCAGUGGGGAAUAUUGCACAAUGGGCGCAAGCCUGAUGCAGCCAUGCCGCGUGUAUGAAGAAGGCCUUCGGGUUGUAAAGUACUUUCAGCGGGGAGGAAGGGAGUAAAGUUAAUACCUUUGCUCAUUGACGUUACCCGCAGAAGAAGCACCGGCUAACUCCGUGCCAGCAGCCGCGGUAAUACGGAGGGUGCAAGCGUUAAUCGGAAUUACUGGGCGUAAAGCGCACGCAGGCGGUUUGUUAAGUCAGAUGUGAAAUCCCCGGGCUCAACCUGGGAACUGCAUCUGAUACUGGCAAGCUUGAGUCUCGUAG
rnacentral:rRNA from 1 species